CAGUCGCCGCGGGAAUACGAAGGGUGCAAGCGUUAAUCGGAAUUACUGGGCGUAAAGCGUGCGCAGGCGGUUGUGUAAGACAGGUGUGAAAUCCCCGGGCUUAACCUGGGAACUGCGCUUGUGACUGCACAGCUAGAGUAUGGCAGAGGGGGGUGGAAUUCCACGUGUAGCAGUGAAAUGCGUAGAGAUGUGGAGGAACACCGAUGGCGAAGGCAGCCCCCUGGGCCAAUACUGACGCUCAUGCACGAAAGCGUGGAGAGCAAACAGGAUUAGAGACCCCUGUAGUCCCUGUCUCUUAUAC
rnacentral:rRNA from 1 species